rnacentral:rRNA from 1 species
GCAAGUCGAACGGUAACAGGUCUAGCUUGCUAGAUGCUGACGAGUGGCGGACGGGUGAGUAACGCGUAGGGAACUGCCUAUCAGAGGGGGAUAACCUGGGGAAACCCAGGCUAAUACCGCAUACGCCCCACGGGGGAAAGGAUGGGAACUUCGGUCCAUUCGCUGAUAGAUGUACCUGCGUUAGAUUAGCUUGUUGGUGAGGUAAAGGCUCACCAAGGCGACGAUCUAUAGCUGGUCUGAGAGGAUGAUC